GGGAAGCAAAACUGCUCAUGAGACUUAACCUAUUAUACAGUCCAUUUUCCUUUCGGCAUAUGCAAUAGAGUCUCUAUUAAUGUGGCUUUGUCACUGUCUGGGGUCUUUGUAUAUUUUGCUGCUUUGUGUCCAGUUGCCGUGGGGUGCAGGAGAACGUGUGCUUUACUUACCUGAACCUGUCCCUCGCGGCCGUUCCAUGGUCUUCCUGACUGUCCUCUUCAGCUCCUAAAAGUUAAUCUACCAGGAUCCCACUGUCUCCUUCACACUGCGGUCUAUGGAGGAGACAGUGGGAUCCUC